rnacentral:rRNA from 1 species
CGUGCUAACACAUGCAAGUCGAGCGAAGUACUUGCAACAGAUUCCUUCGGGAUGAAGAUGCAAGUAUCUUAGCGGCGGACGGGUGAGUAACGCGUGAGAAACCUGCCUUUCACAAAGGGAUAGCCUCGGGAAACUGGGAUUAAUACCUUAUGAUACUUUUGCUUCGCAUGAAGUGAAAGUUAAAGCGUAAAGCGGUGAGAGAUGGUCUCGCGUCCCAUUAGUUAGUUGGUGAGGUAAUGGCUCACCAAGACAGCGAUGGGUAGCCGGCCUGAGAGGGUGAUCGGCCACACUGGAACUGAGACACGGUCCAGACUCCUACGGGAGGCAGCAGUGGGGAAUAUUGCACAAUGGAGGAAACUCUGAUGCAGCGACGUCGCGUGAACGAUGAAGGCCUUCGGGUCGUAAAGUUCUGUCCUAGGGGACGAUAAUGACGGUACCCUAGGAGGAAGCCCCGGCUAACUACGUGCCGCGCCCGCUGUAAUACGUAGGGGGGCAAGCGUUGUCCGGAUUUAUUGGGCGUAAAGGGUUCGCAGGC